CAGGGAAAUAUCGCGAGAGUAUGUCAGAGGACGAAAAUCCCGUGUGCGUGCUAAAAACGGAGAAUGCUGUAGCGGCUGUCAACCGGAAGUGAUAUUGUUGCACUUUGCAGACGCAUUAGGUAAACUCAACCGUGUUGACCUGGCAGGAAGUGAGCGUCAGUCUGAGACUGGUGCUCCUGGCGAACGACUGCACAAUGCCUCCCAAGAUCAACCUUUCCCUCUCGCCUUGGGUAACGUCAUCUCUACCCCGGUGGACGGACGCUCCAAGCACAUCCCCGACCGGGACUCGGAGCUGAUGAGGCUGCUGCAGGACUAUCUGGGAGGAAACAUGUGCACCUUGAGGAUCUCCUGUCUUUCCCCUCGCAGACAACCACUAUGAAGAGAGCCUGAGCAUGCUGCGCCAUACCAACGGAUCCAAGAGCAUCCAGAACAGACCUCCCAUCACCGAGGACCCCAAGGACCCUCUGCUCAGAGAAGAUCAGGAGGAGAUCAGGAAGUCGUGGGCCCUCAUCUUUGGCCAGCUGGACACUGUUAACCUGUCAGGGUGCCCUCCAUCUCAUCCUGUGGCUGUGGUUCAGCUGAGGAAGAUGAGUGGGCUGUAUUUUCAUCUUCGGUUGUUGUGGUGCUGCUGCUGCUGCUACCGCCGCCUUCCAUCUCCUCCUCCUCAUCUUCCUUCUCCUGCUCCUGCUGCUGGUCUUUCUCUCCUGUGGUGCCCUGUUGGAGACUCUGGCUCACCAGGGCCCUGACCUCCUCUGCAAGGAAUGUAAAACAAAGCUGCAUGAGGACAUUCAAGCUUUCUAAUCUGGAGAAGGCCUGAGCCAGCAGGGGGAGUACUCUCCCAAAGAAUGACAAGAGAAAAUGGUCUGCACACAGCAAAGAACCAUGGAAAUAGGUUACAUAUCAGUUUCAGUGAUCGUCUUUCUGUCAAGUAGCACACGCGUCUUAAUCCUCCUGACAAAGUCUGAGCAAACACUGGAAAUUCCAGUGAUUGGUGUUUGAUUAUAUUCUGUUGUUGUGACCCAUCCUGGUCACUGACACUGCUGUGCAAUGUACAUUGGUACCCAUAAAAUAGGAACCGUUUUUGAUUGAAGUCCUCCUCCAGUUCGUCUGAUGAAAAGAGAAAUAAAACAAAGCACUCAGCAUAAUGUGUUAUGUUAGCAAGCAGAGUUGGCCAGCUGGAGUGCGUCACAGCACACUUUAAAAGUGCCCAUUUAAACAUUAAAUGUAAGAAAACGCAUUAAACACGAUGAACGGUGAGAUUAACACACUGUGCUAAGAGAUAUGAAGAGUUUUGAUAGAUAAUAGCAAAGGAAAAACAGUAGGAAUAGUUAAUUCGGGUGGAUGGAGUGCGUAAUGGUUAAGUGCGUCAGAGCGCACAUUCAAACUGCCCAAAAGAUAAUAAAUUCAAACAUUCACAUCUCUCCCAUUACAUGGACCAUUAUCAAAUCAGUUUUCAACAAACAUUAUUCAAAACAUUACACAUUAAAUCAUAAACAUGUCAAGGUUUCAUACUUACAUCUACCAGUCAGUCUGCCAGAAGUCCCAGUUUGUGUACCUCUCCACCUGGAUUUUUAAGGGCUUCAUCCCCCAUGCUCUAAGACCCUCCACCAAUCACAACACACAUCACCUGCAUGCAGCAUGCCUGCUACAGCGGCCAGCCAGUCAGAGUGUACAACCAAUUAACGAUCAAGCACAACAUGGUUAGGAAUUACACUUGUUCCGAUUUUAUUGAUAUGUACACCAUGUGUUCUGUAUGAGGAGAGGAUGACAUCGUUAAAUUUUCAUAUGUUUUGAACAUUCCAUUGCAGAGAUAUUCUUUUUUAUUUUUGCUGUCUUUAAAAAUGGAUAUAGUGAAAAAUUGACUCGUUCCGAUCUUAUUCAUUUUUACAGCAUUUACUCACCAAUGAAAAAGGGUGUCGAAAAAAAAACAACAACCUUCUAGCUAACUGUCUGUGAUUGGACCUUGGUGGACAGAGGUCAUAUCUCCUAAGUGCUUGUGUUUUUUGGGCUGGAAUUGCAAUAUUUUGGUCACUGCCAACCUUGAUGGCCCCGUUGUCCAUUGGCAAUGCACUUCACACACUUAAUUUUUUUUCUCCCUUUUUUUCAUGGUAGUACCUUGAUUAUAGCACUUUGAGAUUGAUUUUAGCAAUGCAAAGUCCUCUUUAAAUGAAAUGUAUUAUUAUUAUUAUUAUUAUUAUUAUUACCUCCAAUGGUGUCCAAUGGCAAUGACUUGCCAUUGUCCAAUUGGGAUACCCGAAUCCCAGCUCUAAGGUAUUUGAAGUGGACAAAAGUCGUCCACUUUAAAAAAUUAAAAUACAUUUGUAUUGGACCUGGGGUUUGAGUUUGAGUUUAUUUAUUUAAAACAGGGACAAUACAUAUUAAUGAACAUAUACAUGUAAAUAUGCAAGAUUAUAGCCAACGGCUAAUUUCCAUCUUUAGUCCCUUCGGCAGGUUGAUGUCAACAACAUAGGAUAGUAAAAUCAAUAAAACAACAGUAACAACAAAUAGAAUAGUUAGCCUUCAUGGCCAGUAUGAAUAGGAGGAGUAAUUACAGAGAGAGAAAACACAAUGGGACAG